rnacentral:tRNA from 3 species
UGCCCAGGUGGCGGAAUUGGUAGACGCGCACGUUUCAGGUGCGUGUGUCGAGAGGCAUGCAGGUUCGAGUCCUGUUCUGGGCACCCA